GACGAACGCUGGCGGCGUGCUUAACACAUGCAAGUCGAACGGAAAGGCCCUGCUUUUGUGGGGUGCUCGAGUGGCGAACGGGUGAGUAACACGUGAGUAACCUGCCCUUGACUUUGGGAUAACUUCAGGAAACUGGGGCUAAUACCGGAUAGGAGCUCCUGCUGCAUGGUGGGGGUUGGAAAGUUUCGGCGGUUGGGGAUGGACUCGCGGCUUAUGAGCUUGUGGGUGGGGUAGUGGCUUACCAAGGCUUUGACGGGUAGCCGGCCUGAGAGGGUGACCGGCCACAUUGGGACUGAGAGACGGCCCAGACUCCUACGGGAGGCAGCAGUGGGGAAUAUUGCACAAUGGGCGGAAGCCUGAUGCAGCAACGCCGCGUGCGGGAUGACGGCCUUCGUGUUGUAAACCGCUUUCGCCUGUGACGAAGCGUGAGUGACGGUAAUGGGUAAAGAAGCACCGGCUAACUACGUG
rnacentral:rRNA from 1 species